rnacentral:ncRNA from 1 species
ACUUUAGCGCCAGACUGAUUUUCAGUUGACGAGGUGAAGGGUUAUCGAAGUAUUCGGCGGAUGCCCUUCCGGACCGCACAAUACGUAAGCUCCGUUACAAAAAGGGAGGCGACUCCUGAACAAAAAGGC